UUCCUCCUGCAGCACAGCCUGCAGCCUGGCUCCUGCACAUGGCGGUAGAAAUAGGAACACUGGAUGCUCCAUGGUGAAGGAUUGUCAGAGGAAGAGGAGGACACGCCCCGCCUGAAAGACGACCUAUUGUCUCAGGGGCCUCUUUGGCAUCCACAAGUGCACAGGUUGAAGCUGGCAGCAUGGAUUCUGAAGAGCAGAUACUAAGAGCCAGGGGCCUGUCGGAAAGAGUUAUAACAACCAUGCUACAAAUUCACAAGAUGAUUACUUCUACCAUCUAAGGUUCCUACAAUAUAGGAUCCGCUCAGUGGAUAUCUUCUAUAUAAGAUCCCUCUCUUGAUUGACCCAACAAGAAUGGGUAGAGACAAGGAUGAGAUGGCGGAGAGUAUAUUAAAUCUCACCAUAGAGAUCCUCUUCCGGCUUACUGGAGAGGACUACACAGUAGUAAAGAAGACCUCUAGUGAGCACUGUCAGGCCCCUGUGUCUG